GAACGCUGGCGGCGUGCUUAACACAUGCAAGUCGAACGGUGACGGAGAGCUUGCUCUCCUGAUCAGUGGCGAACGGGUGAGUAACACGUGGGCAACCUGCCCCAGACUUCGGGAUAGCGCUUCGAAAGAGGUGCUAAUACCGGAUACGAACUCCUUGGGCAUCCUUGGAGUUGGAAAGUUUUUCGGUCUGGGAUGGGCCCGCGGCCUAUCAGCUUGUUGGUGAGGUAACGGCUCACCAAGGCGACGGCGGGUAGCCGGCCUGAGAGGGCGACCGGCCACACUGGGACUGAGACACGGCUCAGACUCCUACGGGAGGCAGCAGUGGGGAAUAUUGCGCAAUGGGCGAAGGCCUGACGCAGCAACGCCGCGUGAGGGAUGACGGCCUUCGGGUAGUAAACCUCUUUCAGCAGGGAAGAAGCGAAAGUGACGGUACCUGCAGAAGAAGCACCGGCUAACUACGUGCCAGCAGCCGCGGUAAUACGUAGGGUGCAAGCGUUGUCCGGAUUUAUUGGGCGUAAAGAGCUCGUAGGCGGUUAGUCACGUCGGAUGUGAAAACUCAGAGCUUAACUCUGAGCCUGCAUUCGAUACGGGCUGACUAGAGUGUUGUAGGGGAGACUGGAACUCCUGGUGUAGCGGUGAAAUGCGCAGAUAUCAGGAAGAACACCGGUGGCGAAGGCGGGUCUCUGGGCAACUACUGACGCUGAGGAGCGAAAGCGCGGGGAGCAAACAGGAUUAGAUACCCUGGUAGUCCACGCCGUAAACGGUGGGCGCUAGGUGUGGGGAACAUUCCACGUUCUCCGUGCCGCAGCUAACGCAUUAAGCGCCCCGCCUGGGGAGUACGGCCGCAAGGCUAAAACUCAAAGGAAUUGACGGGGGCCCGCACAAGCGGCGGAGCAUGCGGCUUAAUUCGAUGCAACGAAGAACCUUACCUAGGCUUGACAGUUGGGGAAAUCUGGCAGAGAUGUCAGGUCCGCAAGGGCCCCAAAACAGGUGGUGCAUGGCUGUCGUCAGCUCGUGUCGUGAGAUGUUGGGUUAAGUCCCGCAACGAGCGCAACCCUCGUCGUAUGUUGCCAGCAAGUAAAGUUGGGGACUCAUACGAGACUGCCGGGGUCAACUCGGAGGAAGGUGGGGAUGACGUCAAGUCAUCAUGCCCCUUAUGUCUAGGGCUGCACGCAUGCUACAAUGGCCGGUACAAAGGGCUGCGAUACCGCAAGGUGGAGCGAAUCCCAAAAAGCCGGUCUCAGUUCGGAUUGGGGUCUGCAACUCGACCCCAUGAAGUCGGAGUCGCUAGUAAUCGCAGAUCAGCAACGCUGCGGUGAAUACGUUCCCGGGCCUUGUACACACCGCCCGUCACGUCACGAAAGUCGGUAACACCCGAAGCCGGUGGCCCAACCCGUAAGGGAGGGAGCUGUCGAAGGUGGGACUGGCGAUUGGGACGAAGUCGUAACAAGGUA
rnacentral:rRNA from 1 species